AGGGCCCGUCUACGCAGAAGGGCAAAUCCAUACUGGAGCAAAUACAAGAAAUGCACAACAGUCAUUAACUAGAGGCCUCAACCAGGUGACAACGAACACUCAUGGGUGGGCCCAAAACUGAGGCUGAAGAUGGCCUUCUUCUGCAACUCCCAGUUGGGAAAAGGUGACAAAGUGAAAACAUACCUGAAUUUGAUCUAUAGAAUCAAUAAUGAUGAUGAUGCUGCCUUGAUGACGAGCAGAGAGUUUUUCCAGCCAACGUGGGAAUUCUUCCAGAAGCUUAGCAGGAUCCAGUGUCA